rnacentral:rRNA from 1 species
GAUGAACGCUAGCGGCAGGCUUAAUACAUGCAAGUCGAGGGGCAGCACGAAUAGCAAUAUUUGGUGGCGACCGGCAAACGGGUGCGGAACACGUACGCAACCUUCCCAUAACUGGUGAAU